CAAUUGGAGGGCAAGUCUGGUGCCAGCAGCCGCGGUAAUUCCAGCUCCAAUAGCGUAUAUUAAAAUUGUUGCAGUUAAAACGCUCGUAGUUGAAUUUCAAAGAAUCGAUAUUUUAAGCAACGCUUCUAGCUUAAUCCACAUAACUGAUACUUCGUAUCGACUUUGUGCGCAUUUUGCUAUUAUGUGUUCUUUUAAUUAAAAUGAUUCUUUUUAAGGGUUUUCAUCACUUCUGUUUUGAUUCCCUUGUUACUUUGAGUAAAUUAGAGUGUUCAAAGCAAACAGAUAUAGCAUUGCGCGUUUGAAUACUACAGCAUGGAAUAACAAAAUUGAACAAGUCAGAAUUUUGUUCUUUUUUCUUAUUUUGGCUUAGUUACGAUUAAUAGGAGUAGCUUGGGGGCAUUUGUAUUCAGAUGUCAGAGGUGAAAUUCUUAGAUUUUCUGGAGACAAACAACUGCGAAAGCAUUUGCCUAAAAUACUUCCAUUAAUCAAGAACGAAAGUUAAGGGAGUGAAGACGAUCAGAUACCGUCGUAAUCUU
rnacentral:rRNA from 1 species